AUACCGCCUGCUCCGAGGCCUCUACGAGCAACCUUUCCGCCCCUCCAGCUCCGCACCGCGGCGAGGAAAUAGGGAAAUAGGGCAUCCAGCGCUCCGAUUCUAAAAACCUUUCGCUUUCACUUGAUUCACAGAUGACCCAACAGUAUAUGACCAAGGACUCUACCCCUGCCGUGCACCUGCUAAGGGGAAGAAGAGACACAUUUCCAGCAAAGAGGCCAAGGCUCCUGGGACAGGAACUAGGCUUACUGGGCAACAGCGUGGAUUUCAGCAACUUUGGCAAACGCCCGGGCAGCAUGGAGAAUUAAAAAUCAGGAACCAGGGGUCCGGCAAUGAACGGGUGUGAAAAACCACACACUGAAGCUGGACCUCAACCAGUUCCUUACCCUGCAGUAACCUCAGCCUUCUAGACAAAGCAUCGCGCUAAUAUGAACCUGGGAAUAGCUUCAUGACAUAAACAAAGAAGUUUCUCAUGGGCCCAAGAACAUGCUUACCUUGGCUGCAUGCACAAAAAGUGUCCUGAAGUGACUUGUACUGCUCUUUGUUUUGAAACACUAUAAAAACUCUGGAGUCCUUUAAUAAAUCGCCUUUUGCCUCCUGA